UUAUUUAAUGUUAACAUUUUAUAGAAUAUAUACUCAAUUCAAGAACAGAGGAAAAGAAAGUGUUUUCAGCAAAUAACACUAGAACACCUGGUAUCUGUAUAUAAAAAAUUAACUUCAAUCCUUUAUUUCCAUACAUAAAAAUAACUUGAAAGGAUCUAUGAACCUAAAUAUGAAAGACUAAAAUUGUAAAACUUUAAGAAAAAAUUAUAGGGGAAAAUGUUUAUAAAUUUCGGGUAGGCAAGAACUUCCUAGGAUACAAAAAACAUGAUAUAUAAAAGAAAAGAAUUGAUAAAUGAGAUUCCAUCAAAAUUUAGAACUUUAAAUGACAUCAUUAAAAUGAAAAAUAGUCCUUAAAACAGACCAUAUUUACAAUGCAUAUAACCUAUGACCAGAAUAUAUAAAGAGCUCUUACGGCUCAUUAAUAGACAACCCAGUUAAAGAGUAGACACAAGAAGAUGAUAAAUGGCCAGUACAGCACAAGGAAAGGUAUGCAACACUAGAAUCAGAAAAAUACUAAUCAGUACAAUAACAAGAUUGAAUUAUACACUCAUUAGGGAGAUGAAGUUAAAAGUUUUAAAAGCCCUGUCAUGACUUUUUCUUUUUGUUGGAUUCUCCCCCUUUGCAUUUAAUUUGUCAAGCCGAACAGAUUCAUUCUGCUGGGCUUCCUGGUGUUGUGAUCCUCAUUGUCUUUUUCUAGGGUAUUGUCUAAAAUUUUUUGGAGUGCUGGUUUGGUAUACAUGAAGUUCCUAAGGUGCUCUUUAUCAUGAAAGCAUCUUAUUUCUCCAUCAAUUUUGAAAGAUAGUUUUGCAGGGUACAUCAAUCUGUGUUGGAGGCUGUUUUCCUUUAGGGCUUGACAUACAUCACUCCAAGCUCUUCUUGCCUUGAGGCUUUGCAUUGAGAAGUCUGCUGUGAUUCUGAUGGGCUUUCCUUUGUAUGUGAUUUGUUUCUUUUCUCUCACUGCUUGUAGAAUUGUAUUCUUCUGUUGGAUUUCUGGAAUCCUAACUAUGCUAUGCCUAUGUGUAGAUUUUUUUUGAUUAAGGCUAGCUGGAGUCCUAUAUGCCUCACUUAUCUGUAUGUCAAGUUCUUUUCCUGCCAUCACUUCUGUGAAGAGUUUUUUUUUUAUGUCAUCUGCACUCUCUCCUCUUUCUUCAUUGACUCCAAUCAGUCUUAUGUUAUUCUUCUUUGCAUUGUCUAGCAGCUGCUGGAUUGAUUUCUCGUGUUC
rnacentral:lncRNA from 1 species